rnacentral:rRNA from 1 species
GAUUAAAUUUUAUUUAUUGAUUUUAUUUAUUAAUUAUAUUAUUUAAUAAAAAUAAUUUUAUUUAUUUUAGUUUUAGUAUUUUUUAAAAAAAAUAAUUUUAAUAAUAGUUUAUUUGUAUUGUAAAAGAAUAUUGAAAUAAUUUGAAAAAUUUUUAUUUAUAAAGAAAAUUUAAUUUAUUGUACCUUGUGUAUCAGGGUUUAUUAAAUAAUAUAUUAUUAUAAUUAAUAUUUCUCGAAUUUUAAAGAUUUAAUUAUAUAUAAAAGUUAUUGUAGCAUAAUUAUUUUUCAUAUAUAAUUAGUAAUGAAAUGUUAAUCGUUUUAAAAUAUAUCUAGUUUUUUAAGAAAUAAAUUUAAUUUAUAUUUUUAAAUUAAAAAUUUUAUUUAUAUAAUAUUUUUAUUUUAAAAAAUAAAUAUUUUUAGGGAUUAGCUUAAAAAUAAAUUUUUAAAUUUAAAAUAAAAUUUUUUAAUAAAUGUAAUCUUAAAAAUAGUUAUCAUUAAUAAAUUUGUUAUAAUUUAUUUUAAAUUUUUUAUUAUUUAUUAUUAAAUUAAAUUAUUUAUUAAAAUAUAAAUUUUAAUUAUUAAAAUUUAUUAAUUAUGAUAAAAUUAGUAUAUAAAAUAUAUUUAAAUUAUUGAAAAAUGAAAGGUUUAAAUAAGGAAUUCGGCAAAAUAUAUAUUUACCUGUUUAUCAAAAACAUGUCUUUUUGAAUAUAAAUUUAAAGUCUAACCUGCCCACUGAUUAAUUAAAGGGCCGCAGUAUUUUGACUGUGCGAAGGUAGCAUAAUCAAUAGUCUUUUAAUUGAAGGCUUGUAUGAAUGGUUGAAUAAGAUAUAUACUGUCUUUUUUGAAUUUUUAUAGAAUUUUAUUUUUUAAUUAAAAAGUUAAAAUAAAAUUAAAGGACGAGAAGACCCUAUAGAUCUUUAUUUUUUUUUAUUAUUAAUUAAAAAGUAUAUAUAAAUUUAUAAUUUAAUAAAAAAUUUUAUUGGGGUGAUAUUAAAAUUUAAAUAACUUUUAUAAUAUUUUUACAUUAAUUUAUGAGUAAUUGGUCCAGUAUUAUUGAUUAAAAAAUUAAGUUACCUUAGGGAUAACAGCGUAAUUUUUUUUUAGAGUUCAUAUCGACAAAAAAGAUUGCGACCUCGAUGUUGGAUUAAGAAUUAUUUUUAGGUGUAGAAGUUUAAAGUUUAAGUCUGUUCGACUUUUAAAUUCUUACAUGAUCUGAGUUCAAACCGGUGUAAGCCAGGUUGGUUUCUAUCCUUAAUUAAAUUAUUAUAUUAUAGUACGAAAGGACCUAAUAUAAAAAAUAUAAAUUUUAAUAUUAUGAAUAUUAUUAAUAUUAAUUAAACUAUUUUGGCAGAUUAGUGCAA